rnacentral:tRNA from 1 species
CGACCACCCGGGCGGCGUUCUUCGGCGCGUCGGCGGCCUGCGGCGCUGCCGGGGUGGCCGGGGUGCCGGGUGCGGCCGGUGUGGCGGCCGGCUUGGGCGA